AAAAAAAAUUAUUUAAUUUAUUUUAUUAAAAUAUUAUAUAUUUUAUUAUUGUUAAAGAAAAGAAAAUUUUAAUUAUAGUUUAUAAGUAUAGUGAUAGAAUUUUUUUAUAUAGUAAGAAGAAAUAAUAUUAUGUACCUUGUGUAUCAGGGUUUAUUAAAUAUAUUUUAAUUAUUUAAGGUUCUCGAAAUUAUAAGAGUUAAAAAAUUAAUUAUUUUAUUGUUGAAUAAAUAUUUAAAAUAAUUUUUUUGUAAUGAAACGUUAUUCGUUUAUAAUUAUAUCUAGUUUUUGAAGAAAAAAAUUUAAUUUUGAUUUUAAUUAUUUAUUUUUUAUUUAAAGUAAUAAAAGGUUAAAAUUUAUAUUUUAAGGGAUAAGCUUUAAAAUAAAUUAUUAUAAUUUUUAUUUAGACAUAUAAUAGUAGGAUUAGAAAUUUUCAUCAUUUAGUUUGUUAUAAUUAAUUUAUGUAUAAAUUAAAUUUUUAGGGAUUUAAUUAUUUUAUUCAAUUUAAUUUUUUAAUAUAAAUAAGGUUGUAAUAAUGAUAAAAUUAGUAUAAAUUUAUGUAAAAAUUUUAAUAAUAAAAAGGUUAAAUAAAGGAAUUCGGCAAAUAUAUUUUUCGCCUGUUUAUUAAAAACAUGUCCUUUUGAUUUUAAUUUAAGGUCUGACCUGCCCAUUGAUUUAAUUUAACGGCCGCGGUAUUUUGACCGUGCAAAGGUAGCAUAAUAAUUAGUUUUUUAAUUGAAAGCUGGAAUGAAUGGUUGGACGAGAAAAUGGCUGUCUCUAUUUAAUUACAUUAGAAUUUUAUUUUUGAGUUAAAAAGCUUAAAUGUUUUUAAAAGACGAGAAGACCCUAUAGAGUUUAAUAAAUUUUUUAUUAGUACUUUUUUAGAAUUAUUAUAUUAUUAUUAAAAAUUUUAUUUGGUUGGGGUGAUUGAAAAAUUUAGUUAACUUUUUUUUGUAUAAAGUCAUUGAUAAAUGAUUUAUUGAUCCAUAAAAAUGAUUAUAAGUUAAAAUUACCUUAGGGAUAACAGCGUAAUUUCUUUAAAGAGUUCUUAUCGAAAAAGAAGUUUGCGACCUCGAUGUUGGAUUAAAAUUUAUAUUUGGUGUAGAAGCUAAAUUAUUAAGUCUGUUCGACUUUUAAAAUUUUACAUGAUCUGAGUUUAAACCGGUGUGAGCCAGGUUGGUUUCUAUCUUUAAAUAUAUAAAAUAUUUUAGUACGAAAGGACCAAGUAUU
rnacentral:rRNA from 1 species